GCCCCCGUUGUCUAAUGGUUAUGACGUCAGACUUCUAUAACAGCAGGUUAUAUCUGGAGGUUGCGGGUUCGAAUCCCGCCGGGGGUU